rnacentral:rRNA from 1 species
GUGAGGAAUAUUGGACAAUGGGCGCAAGCCUGAUCCAGCCAUGCCGCGUGCAGGAAGACGCAUCUAUGGUGUGUAAACUGCUUUUGUACGGGAAGAAACACUCCCUCGUGAGGGAGCUUGACGGUACCGUAAGAAUAAGGAUCGGCUAACUCCGUGCCAGCAGCCGCGGUAAUACGGAGGAUCCAAGCGUUAUCCGGAAUCAUUGGGUUUAAAGGGUCCGUAGGCGGUUUAAUAAGUCAGUGGUGAAAGCCCAUCGCUCAACGAUGGAACGGUCAUUGAUACUGUUAGACUUGAAUUACAAGGAAGUAACUAGAAUAUGUAGUGUAGCGGUGAAAUGCUUAGAUAUUACAUGGAAUACCAAUUGCGAAGGCAGGUUACUACUUGUGGAUUGACGCUGAUGGACGAAAGCGUGGGGAGCGAACAGGAUUAGAAACCCGGGUAGUCC